AGUGCAUAGUGGGACUAUGAUUAGAUUCCCACCAUUUAAAGAAGAAAAGGGAUGCAAAACCAACUUCAAUAAUGCAUUUUCUAUUUAGAGCCUUCAAUGUUUCUACAUUUCUGGUAAUUGUGUUUUUUUUUGAUUGGUUGUAUAGGGUUGUAGUCCUGCAUCAUCACAAGACUGCCUCGGGAUGUUGGGCUCGGGGACAUCAACUAAGGGGAAUGUACCUAAAGUGAUGGACAUGGACAGGAGUGGAGCUAGAUUAUGAUUAUUUCAAGGAGAAACUCUUGUGUGGGGACGGCAACAGUGAUUUCAAUGGUGCCAUUGCUGAAUUCCGGAGAGUGAGGAUGGUUUAUCUUUGGAGGUGGCGCUUUCCGAAUAGUAAAGCAUUUAGCAGUUGAUAUAAGGAUUUGAAUCUUGAAUUUGAUGUUACAUUAAAUCCCUCCUUGUUUCAGCAGGUAAACAGAAAAAGAUAGAGGUUCUCGAGCUGUCGUAUGAACUAACUCUUGGUAGCGGUGCUUUUGGAAAUCGGCUGAAGAAAUCCCUUUUCAUCUUCUGUCCUCAGGAACAUGCUCGGAUAAGAAGGGUCUGUAAAAUGUUCAACCAUAUGCACUGAAGAUUUAGACCGUGAUUAGCGUGACAGAAUCUCUGCCCGAAUGAAAAUCGACAGACGAUUGAGGAUGACGCCAAGGUGAAGUCGGGCGACAUUGUCUCGUGCUCGUUGGAGACCCCCUGCAUGUAAUGUUCCAGCAACGGUAUGCUACUCGACUGCCCUAGCUCCUCUACCUCAGAGCACAGCCCG